rnacentral:rRNA from 1 species
UACAGAGGGUGCAAGCGUUGUUCGGAAUUAUUGGGCGUAAAGCGCGUGUAGGCGGCUUUGCAAGUCGGGUGUGAAAGCCCUCAGCUCAACUGAGGAAGUGCGCCCGAAACUGCAGAGCUUGAGUGCCGGAGAGGGUGGCGGAAUUCCCCAAGUAGAGGUGAAAUUCGUAGAUAUCUGGAGGAACACCGGUGGCGAAGGCGGCAUCCUGGACCGGUAUUGACGCUGAGGCGCGAAAGCCAGGGGAGCAAACGGG